CCACUUCCCUUUUCUGAGAAAACCUUCACAUUCUCCCUCCAAAACCAUUUACACACCUUCCUUAUAAAUAGGGGAAGGGGUCCCCUUCAUUUUUCAAUCUUGAAAGCCCCUCAAGCCUCUGUUGAACAUUUGAGCUAAACCGCCAAAUACAGAACACCGUAUUUUGAGUUUCAAUCCUAAACCACCACUCAUAAACCUUCAUUGAACUUCAUUCAAUCUUUC
rnacentral:lncRNA from 1 species